AUUGAACGCUGGCGGCAGGCCUAACACAUGCAAGUCGAGCGAGCGGCGGACUGGUGAGUAAUGUCUGGGAAACUGCCUGAUGGAGGGGGAUAACUACUGGAAACGGUAGCUAAUACCGCAUACCAUCAGAUGUGCCCCGAUGGGAUUAGCUGGUCGGUGGGGUAACGGCUCACCUAGGCGACGAUCCCUAGCUGGUCUGAGAGGAUGACCAGCAACACUGGAACUGAGACACGGUCCGGACUCCUACGGGAGGCAGCAGAGGGGAAUAUUACACAAGGGGCGAAAGCCUGAUGCAGCCAGGCCGCGUGGGUGAAGAAGGCCUUCGGGUUGUAAAGCACGUUCAGCGGGGAGGCGUUACCCGCAGAAGAAGCACCGGCUAACUCCGGGCCAGCAGCCGCGGUAAUAC
rnacentral:rRNA from 1 species